rnacentral:rRNA from 1 species
AUUGAACGCUGGCGGCAGGCCUAACACAUGCAAGUCGAACGAGUGGCGGACGGGUGAGUAAUGUCUGGGAAACUGCCCGAUGGAGGGGGAUAACUACUGGAAACGGUAGCUAAUACCGCAUACCAUCGGAUGUGCCCAGAUGGGAUUAGCUAGUAGGUGGGGUAACGGCUCACCUAGGCGACGAUCCCUAGCUGGUCUGAGAGGAUGACCAGCACACCGGGAACGGAGACCGGGUCCGGCCUCCUAGGGGAGGCAGCAGGGGGGAAUAUUGCACAAUGGGCGAAAGCCUGAUGCAGCAAUGCCGGGUGUAUGAAGAGGGCCUUCGGGGUUAAAAGUACUUUCAGCGAGGAGGCGUUACUCGCAGAAGAAGCACCGGCUAACUCCGGGCAAGCGGCCGCGGUAAUU